rnacentral:rRNA from 1 species
UGGGGAAUAUUGGGCAAUGGGCGAAAGCCUGACCCAGCGACGCCGCGUGGGUGAUGAAGGCCUUCGGGUUGUAAAGCCCUUUCGUGCGGAAAGAACAGCCCUGUAGUUAAUACCUGCAGGGUUUGACGGUACCGCAGGAAGAAGCACCGGCUAACUCCGUGCCAGCAGCCGCGGUAAUACAGAGGGUGCAAGCGUUGUUCGGAAUUAAUGGGCGUAAAGGGCGCGUAGGUGGUUGUGAUAGUCAGAUGUGAAAUCCUUCGGCUUAACUGAAGAACUGCAUCUGAAACUUCACAACUCGGGUACAGGAGAGGGAAACGGAAUUCCCGGUGUAGAGGUGAAAUUCGUAGAUAUCGGGAGGAACACCAGUGGCGAAGGCGGUUUCCUGGCCUGAUACUGACACUGAGGCGCGAAAGCGUGGGGAGCAAACAG